UACGGAGGGUGCGAGCGUUGUCCGGAAUCACUGGGCGUAAAGGGCGCGUAGGCGGCCUGAUAAGUAGGGGGUGAAAUCCUGCGGCUUAACCGCAGGGCUGCCUUCUAAACUGUCAGGCUUGAGCACAGUAGAGGCAGGUGGAAUUCCCGGUGUAGCGGUGGAAUGCGUAGAGAUCGGGAAGAACAUCAGUGGCGAAGGCGGCCUGCUGGGCUGUUGCUGACGCUGAGGCGCGACAGCGUGGGGAUCAAACAGG
rnacentral:rRNA from 1 species